rnacentral:rRNA from 1 species
CGGGACGGGUGAGUAACGCGUGGAAAACCUGCCGUAUACUGGGGGAUAACACUUAGAAAUAGGUGCUAAUACCGCAUAAGCGCACAGCUUCGCAUGAAGCGGUGUGAAAAACUCUGGUGGUAUACGAUGGUUCCGCGUCUGAUUAGCUAGUUGGUGGGGUAAUGGCCUACCAAGGCAACGAUCAGUAGCUGGCCUGAGAGGGUGAACGGCCACAUUGGGACUGAGACACGGCCCAAACUCCUACGGGAGGCAGCAG